CCCGGUCCGACUCCUCCCCCCCCGAGUCGGCCGUGGAGACGACCCCCGUUCUCCCCCCGACGGGGGUCGUCGCAU
rfam:Streptomyces agglomeratus strain 6-3-2 1, whole genome shotgun sequence.